rnacentral:rRNA from 1 species
CAGCAGCCACGGUAAUACGUAGGUGGCAAGCGUUGUCCGGAAUUAUUGGGCGUAAAGGGCUCGCAGGCGGUUUCUUAAGUCUGAUGUGGAAGCCCCCGGCUCAACCGGGGAGGGUCAUUGGAAACUGGGAAACUUGAGUGCAGAAGAGGAGAGUGGAAUUCCACGUGUAGCGGUGAAAUGCGUAGAGAUGUGGAGGAACACCAGUGGCGAAGGCGACUCUCUGGUCUGUAACUGACGCUGAGGAGCGAAAGCGUGGGGAGCGAACAGGAUUAGAGACCCGCGUAGUCCCUGUCUCUUAUAC